UACGUAGGUGGCAAGCGUUGUCCGGAAUUACUGGGCGUAAAGGGUGCGCAGGCGGACAUUUAAGUGAGAUGUGAAAGACCCGGGCUUAACUUGGGCAGUGCAUUUCAAACUGGAUGUCUGGAGUGCAGGAGAGGAGAACGGAAUUCCUAGUGUAGCGGUGAAAUGCGUAGAGAUUAGGAAGAACACCAGUGGCGAAGGCGGUUCUCUGGACUGUAACUGACGCUGAGGCACGAAAGCGUGGGUAGCAAACAGGAUUAGAUACC
rnacentral:rRNA from 1 species